UACGUAGGGUGCAAGCGUUGUCCGGAAUUAUUGGGCGUAAAGAGCUCGUAGGCGGUCUGUCGCGUCUGCUGUGAAAACUCAGGGCUUAACCCUGAGCUUGCAGUGGGUACGGGCAGACUAGAGUGCGGUAGGGGAGACUGGAAUUCCUGGUGUAGCGGUGAAAUGCGACAGAUAUCAGGAGGGAACACCGGUGGGCGAAAGGCGG
rnacentral:rRNA from 1 species